CUUUAACCAAGAACAAAAUAAACCCUCAGUCCGCCAGAACACUACGAGCAAAAGCUUAAAACUCAAGCAGACUUGACGGUGUUGCAAACCGGCCUAGAGGAGCCUGUCCAAUAAUCGAUAACCCACGCUCCACCUCACCCCCCCUAGCCUGCAGCCUAUAUACCGCCGUCGAAAGCCCACCUUUUGAAAGCCUCCACCGUGAGCAAGAUAGUCAGACCACUAACACGUCAGGUCAAGGUGUAGCUAAUGGGGCGGACACAAGAUGGGCUACAUUUUCUACCACAGGACCUACCAUAUACCGCAUGAAACACGGACAAAAGCUGGAUUUAGCAGUAAGCACAACUAGAUAAGUCGUACUGAAACCAGCGCUG
rnacentral:rRNA from 1 species